GACGAACGCUGGCGGCGUGCUUAACACAUGCAAGUCGAACGGAGAAGCUCCAGCUUGCUGGAGUGGAUGAGUGGCGAACGGGUGUGAAACACGUGAGCAACCUGCCUCUGACUCUGGAAUAAGCGCUGGAAACGGCGUCUAACACUGGAUACGAGAAGGGUCCGCAUGGGGACUUUCUGGAAAGUUUGUGGGUUGGGGAUGGGCUCGCGGCCUAUCAGCUUGUUGGUGAGGUAAUGGCUCACCAAGGCGACGACGGGUAGCCGGCCUGAGAGGGCGACCGGCCACACGGGGACUGAGACACGGCCCAGACUCCAACGGGAGGCAGCGGGGGGGAAUAUUGCACAAUGGUCGAAAGCCUGAUGCAGCGACGCCGCGUGAGGGAUGACGGCCUUCGGGUGGUAAACCUCUUUCAGCAGGGAAGAAGCGAGUGUGACGGUACCUGCAGAAGAAGCACCGGCUAACUACGUG
rnacentral:rRNA from 1 species